AGGGUUUGAUUAUGGCUCAGGAUGAACGCUGGCGGCGUGCUUAACACAUGCAAGUCGAACGGAACUCCUAUGAUUGAGGUUUCGGCCAAAAGAAUAGGAUGUUUAGUGGCGGACGGGUGAGUAACGCGUGAGUAACCUGCCUUGGAGUGGGGAAUAACACAGUGAAAACUGUGCUAAUACCGCAUAAUGCAUUUGGGUCGCAUGAUUCUGAAUGCCAAAGAUUUAUCGCUCUGAGAUGGACUCGCGUCUGAUUAGCUAGUUGGCGGGGUAACGGCCCACCAAGGCGACGAUCAGUAGCCGGACUGAGAGGUUGGCCGGCCACAUUGGGACUGAGACACGGCCCAG
rnacentral:rRNA from 1 species